rnacentral:rRNA from 1 species
CCUACGGGAGGCAGCAGCAAGGAAUCUUCCGCAAUGGGGGCAACCCUGACGGAGCAACGCCGCGUGGGGGAUGACGCCCUUCGGGGUGUAAACCCCUUUCAGUAGGGAAGAAGCGAAAGUGACGGUACCUGCAGAAGAAGCGCCGGCUAACUACGUGCCAGCAGCCGCGGUAAU